rnacentral:rRNA from 1 species
UACGGGAGGCAGCAGUAAAUUUAUUGACAAGGCGCAAGCCUGAUCCAGCCAUGCCGCGUGAGUGAUGAAGGCCUUAGGGUUGUAAAGCUCUUUCAGUGAAGAUAAUGACGGUACCUACAGAAGAAGCCCCGGCUAACUUUGUGCCAGCAGCCGCGGUAA